CAAAAAAGAAAUACUCAGUAUUCAAUCUUGGUUGAUUUGCAAAACGUUGAAAAUGAAAUUCGCCAUCAUUUUUACCCUAUUGCUAGCUCUCUUCGCUACCGUUUUUGCUCAGCACCAGCCGCUAGGAGCCAACAAAUGCACUAGAGGUCCAGCUUAUUGGUGCCAAGACAGAGCAACUGCUACUUCUUGUAAUGCCCUUGAGCAUUGCGAGUCUAAAGUUUGGAACAAACAAGGUUAAGGAAAAAUUCAGUUGCUUUGUAAUAGCCAUGUGAAAAUAAAGAUGUUUACAAAAUA